rnacentral:rRNA from 1 species
UAGGGAAUCUUCCACAAUGGACGCAAGUCUGAUGGAGCAACGCCGCGUGAGUGAAGAAGGUUUUCGGACCGUAAAGCUCUGUUGUUGGUGAAGAAGGAUAGAGGUAGUAACUGGCCUUUAUUUGACGGUAAUCAACCAGAAAGUCACGGCUAACUACGUGCCAGCAGCCGCGGUAAUCGUAGGUGGCAAGCGUUGUCCGGAUUUAUUGGGCGUAAAGCGAGCGCAGGCGGAAGAAUAAGUCUGAUGUGAAAGCCCUCGGCUUAACCGAGGAAUUGCAUCGGAAACUGUUUUCUUGAGUGCAGAAGAGGAGAGUAGAACUCCAUGUGUAGCGGUGGAAUGCGUAGAUAUAUGGAAGAAUACCAGUGGCGAAGGCGGCUCUCUGGUCUGCAACUGACGCUGAGGCUCGAAAGCAUGGGUAGCGAACAGGAUUAGAUACCCUGGUAGUCCAUGCCGUAAACGAUGAGUGCUAAGUGUUGGGAGGCUUCCGCCUUUCAGUGCUGCAGCUAACGCAUUAAGCACUCCGCCUGGG